rnacentral:rRNA from 1 species
AUGUGCGCAGACAUGAUAGAUUUGAAGAAGGCGAUGACAAGGAUCACCGAGCUGGAGGAAGAACUCAAGUCUACACACGAUGGAUAUGAGGAGGAAAUCGUGACACUAUUGGAGAAGAACGACGACCUGAUAAAGAAGAUCAGAGUAUUCAUGGGAGACCCCGCGCCAGGAGGAGAAGACGACGAUUCUACUUGCCCGGAUAACUACAUCAUCAUCGACGACACCGAUUCCGACCCGGAUGAUAGUGAUGAUGAUUUUGAAGACGAAGCUGGAGCAGACAUCAUGGAGUCUUCCACCGAUCAAAUUUCUAGAUGA